rnacentral:tRNA from 1 species
GGGUAUAGCUCAGUGGUAGAGUGUGUGCUUAGCAUGCACGAGGUCCUGGGUUCAAUCCCUGGUACCUCCA